rnacentral:rRNA from 1 species
GAAGUAGUUUGAGCUAAAUAUAAUUGCAAGAUUGGUUGACUGAUCAAAGGUGUGGCAAAACCUUAGUCGAAAUUGUAUUUAGGGGUGAUAGGCCGUUCAAAAACUAAGAUAUCUUGACUCCAAUGAAAUGUAUUUAGUACAGUUUACACAUUUUCUAAGUGGUUAGGCUUAGCAAUAAUAUAAAUUUAUAUGGUUUACUAUGUUUACGUUAUAAUAAACAAAUAUACAUUAAGGAUAAUAUACUUUUCUUAAAGUUUAUAAAUAAUAAUUGGAUAUAAUUAAGCUUAUAUAUUUUUAAAUAAUGUUGGUAUUAGUAUAUACGUAAGUUUUUCAUAAGGAACUCGGCAAAAAUGUUCCUCAACUGUUUAUCAAAAACAUAACUGUGUGUAUACUAUACAUAGCGGUAUCUGCUCAAUGUUUUAUAUAAAUAGCCGCAGUAUACUGACUGUGCAAAGGUAGCAUAAUCAAUUGACUUAUAAUUGAAGUCUGGAAUGAAUGACAGUAUGGGGAGCUACUGUCUCAUGUAGAUACGGAGAACUUGUUUAUGAAGUGAAAAUCCUUCUCAUAAUAUAAUAGACGAGAAGACCCUAGAAAUUUUAAGUAAUAUUAGGCAUAUUCCUAGUAAUUUUUCGCUGGGGCGGCGGAGUAGCAUAUAACCUACUUAUACAAACCUGCGCCUUAUGUGGCAAUUGAUAAAUUACUCUAGGGAUAACAGCAUAAUAUUUUAAAGUUUGUGACCUCGAUGUUGGACUAGGACAUAAUAACCUAAAAGGUUUUUUAAAUUGCUCUGUUCGAGCAUAAACUCCUACAUGAUC